rnacentral:rRNA from 1 species
GACGAACGCUGGCGGCGUGCUUAACACAUGCAAGUCGAACGGAAAGGCCCUGCUUUUGUGGGGUGCUCGAGUGGCGAACGGGUGAGUAACACGUGAGUAACCUGCCCUUGACUUUGGGAUAACUUCAGGAAACUGGGGCUAAUACCGGAUAGGAGCUCCUGCUGCAUGGUGGGGGUUGGAAAGUUUCGGCGGUUGGGGAUGGACUCGCGGCUUAUCAGCAUGUUGGUGGGGUAGUGGCUUACCAAGGCUUUGACGGGUAGCCGGCCUGAGAGGGUGACCGGCCACAUUGGGACUGAGAUACGGCCCAGACUCCUACGGGAGGCAGAAGUGGAGAAUAUUGCACAGUGGGCGGAAGCCUGAUGCAGCAACGCCGCGUGCGGGAUGACGGCCUUCGGGUUGUAAACCGCUUUCGCCUGUGACGAAGCGUGAGUGACGGUAAUGGGUAAAGAAGCACCGGCUAACUACGUG